GCGGGUGUGGCGGUAUUGGCAGUACGCACAAGACUUAAAAUCUUGUAGGGGUUUCCCCUUGUGAGUUCGAAUCUCAUCACCCGUA
rnacentral:tRNA from 1 species